GAGUUUGAUCCUGGCUCAGGACGAACGCUGGCGGCGUGCUUAACACAUGCAAGUCGAACGGAAAGGCCCUUUCGGGGGUGCUCGAGUGGCGAACGGGUGAGUAACACGUGGGUGAUCUGCCCUGCACUUUGGGAUAAGCCUGGGAAACUGGGUCUAAUACCGAAUAGUCCCUGCUGGUCGCAUGGCCUGGUGGGGGAAAGCUUUUGCGGUGUGGGAUGGGCCCGCGGCCUAUCAGCUUGUUGGUGGGGUGAUGGCCUACCAAGGCGACGACGGGUAGCCGGCCUGGGAGGGUGUCCGGCCACACUGGGACUGAGAUACGGCCCAGACUCCUACGGGAGGCAGCAGUGGGGAAUAUUGCACAAUGGGCGCAAGCCUGAUGCAGCGACGCCGCGUGGGGGAUGACGGCCUUCGGGUUGUAAACCUCUUUCAGUACCGACGAAGCGUAAGUGACGGUAGGUACAGAAGAAGCACCGGCCAACUACGUGCCAGCAGCCGCGGUAAUACGUAGGGUGCGAGCGUUGUCCGGAAUUACUGGGCGUAAAGAGCUCGUAGGUGGUUUGUCGCGUUGUCCGUGAAAACUCACAGCUUAACUGUGGGCGUGCGGGCGAUACGGGCAGACUGGAGUACUGCAGGGGAGACUGGGAUUCCUGGUGUAGCGGUGGAAUGCGCAGAUAUCAGGAGGAACACCGGUGGCGAAGGCGGGUCUCUGGGCAGUAACUGACGCUGAGGAGCGAAAGCGUGGGGAGCGAACAGGAUUAGAUACCCUGGUAGUCCACGCCGUAAACGGUGGGUACUAGGUGUGGGUUCUUUCCUAAGGAUCCGUGCCGUAGCUAACGCAUUAAGUACCCCGCCUGGGGAGUACGGCCGCAAGGCUAAAACUCAAAGGAAUUGACGGGGGCCCGCACAAGCGGCGGAGCAUGUGGAUUAAUUCGAUGCAACGCGAAGAACCUUACCUGGGUUUGACAUGCACAGGACGCCGGCAGAGAUGUCGGUUCCCUUGUGGCCUGUGUGCAGGUGGUGCAUGGCUGUCGUCAGCUCGUGUCGUGAGAUGUUGGGUUAAGUCCCGCAACGAGCGCAACCCUUGUCUCAUGUUGCCAGCGCGUUAUGGCGGGGACUCGUGAGAGACUGCCGGGGUCAACUCGGAGGAAGGUGGGGAUGACGUCAAGUCAUCAUGCCCCUUAUGUCCAGGGCUUCACACAUGCUACAAUGGCCGGUACAAAGGGCUGCGAUGCCGUGAGGUGGAGCGAAUCCUUUCAAAGCCGGUCUCAGUUCGGAUCGGGGUCUGCAACUCGACCCCGUGAAGUCGGAGUCGCUAGUAAUCGCAGAUCAGCAACGCUGCGGUGAAUACGUUCCCGGGCCUUGACACCCCCCUC
rnacentral:rRNA from 1 species